rnacentral:tRNA from 1 species
GGAAGAUUAGCAUAAUUGGUAAUGCAGCAGAUUACUAAUCUGCCGAGGUAAAACUCUUGUAGGUUCAAGUCCUGCAUCUUCCG